rnacentral:rRNA from 1 species
ACGAGCGGAUGAUGGGAGCUUGCUCCCUGAAGUCAGCGGCGGACGGGUGAGUAACACGUGGGCAACCUGCCUGUAAGACUGGGAUAACUCCGGGAAACCGGGGCUAAUACCGGAUAAUUCUUUCCCUCACAUGAGGGAAAGCUGAAAGAUGGUUUCGGCUAUCACUUACAGAUGGGCCCGCGGCGCAUUAGCUAGUUGGUGAGGUAACGGCUCACCAAGGCGACGAUGCGUAGCCGACCUGAGAGGGUGAUCGGCCACACUGGGACUGAGACACGGCCCAGACUCCUACGGGAGGCAGCAGUAGGGAAUCUUCCGCAAUGGACGAAAGUCUGACGGAGCAACGCCGCGUGAGUGAUGAAGGUUUUCGGAUCGUAAAACUCUGUUGUUAGGGAAGAACAAGUACCGGAGUAACUGCCGGUACCUUGACGGUACCUAACCAGAAAGCCACGGCUAACUACGUGCCAGCAGCCGCGGUAAUACGUAGGUGGCAAGCGUUGUCCGGAAUUAUUGGGCGUAAAGCGCGCGCAGGCGGUUCCUUAAGUCUGAUGUGAAAGCCCCCGGCUCAACCGGGGACGGGUCAUUGCAAACUGGGGGAACUUGAGUGCAGAAGACACCAGUGUAUCUCCACGUGUAGCUGAUGAAAUGAAUAAAGAUGUGGCAGCACCACCAGGGGCUACGGCACUCUUUGCGUCUAUUAACUCGACUCUCAGGGACAUACCGUGGUGCACCUAAGCAGUAUUAAAUUCCCGGGUACCACAGGCCCCUCCACUGAUGAGCUAAGGGCUUAGACGUUUUCCCCCCUGUAGCGGCUGGGGCGGAGGUUUUGAC